GAUGAAGAACGUAGCGAAAUGCGAUAAGUAAUGAGAAUUGCAGAAUUCAGUGAAUCAUCGAAUCUUUGAACGCACAUUGCGCCCGCUAGUAUUCUGGCGGGCAUGCCUGUCCGAGCGUCAUUUCAACCCUCAAGCCCCCGGGCUUGGUGUUGGGGAUCGGCGAGCCUCCGCGCCCGCCGUCCCCUAAAUCUAGUGGCGGUCUCGCUGUAGCUUCCUCUGCGUAGUAGCACACCUCGCACUGGGAAACAGCGCGGCCACGCCGUUAAACCCCCAACUUCUGAACGUUUGACCUCGGAUCAGGUAGGAAUACCCGCUGAACUUAAGCAUAUCAAUAAGCGGAGGA
rnacentral:misc_RNA from 1 species